ensembl:lncRNA
GUCUUCAGUUGAGAGUCAUAUGAUGGCAUCAAGUUCAGAAGAUUGUCUGUCUGCUGAUGAGUGUGAAUCCCUCCUUUACUAUGAAAAUCACAAACCCGAGACAGACAUCAAUUUAGAAAACUCAUUAGGUCUGACGUUUAUUCGAAGAAUUUGGUAUAUUAAUUUCUCCCAUCCACGGUAAAAGACAGGUAUCAUUUGUUUUUAUGUAACUUGGUGACCAGCUUUUAUUGACUUUGCUCUCAUUUUAUGAAUGAAUACACUAAAUUGAGGGUUGAAAUUGGAACUUUUAUAGAGCUAAUUUGUGGCAUUCCACUUCCAUAGUGGGUGUUUUUGCUGACAUAUCUUGAUGCUUGACCCAAAACCAGAAAUUUUAAAACUAUAAAUACUAUGGUAGACCCCAAACACUUGGUAAUUGGCCAUAGCUUUCCACUGAACUCAUGCUUUUCCUCAAGAUCAGAGAGAAACCAACGUGAGGUCCUUGUUGUCUGAAGCAGACACUGAGCCCUUAUUAUACAAACUCAGAAACUCUCCAUGAAGUGGAGGAACAUGCAAAAGAGACAGUGGGGUGAAGCAUGCCACCCAGUGAACAGAGAAUCUUUUCAGCCAUGCUUCUCAGUGUUUUUCAUUAGUGUACCAUAUUGCCAACUGUGAUUCAGACAGACGUUCUUCCACACUUACUUAAAAUGUGGAAGACUGAGGCUGUCGUCAUGACAAGCAAGGACCUUACUCUAGACUGGCGCUUCAAAAUAACGAUAAUUGUUUUUGGAAGCAUGACAUGAUUUCCUUCCCCCCUUCUGCACAUUCCACAUUAGAACAUCACCAAACAAAGUGUUACUUAUAAUAAUCUAUUCCUCAAUACUUUCAUUCUCAGCAAGAAGCUCUUUCAGGGUCUAAAUGAACUUUGUUUUUGUUCUAGGGCAAAGUGUUUAUGAGCUGCCUUUAUAUCUUGAAGUGCAAUAAAUAUCAUUAAACUUGAGAAUGAAUAAAAUUCAGCAUGUUUCAAACUAUAACAGUUCAUGAAAAGUGCUGCUGGUGAAUUAAAUAAGUUUUUCAUGUUGCAUGUUGUGUGGCUAAGGUAUUUGUACCUUGCACAAGAAUCUUGUUGUUGAUUUAGUUGUGUGAUUUUCAGCCAAUAACUGAAGUUGUGUUGUGCAACUCUUUGACUCUCUGAGUCACUGUUGUUUUUUUUUUCAUUCUUUGUAGCAUGAAUCUGCUGACUUUACAAUAAUCUUUUUGGCUUCAGUUUGCAAUCUUGUUAGUAGGACAAAAAAACUCCAUUGUCAUUUCUUAAUUAACAAAACAUGAUUUCUUAAGCAUGAGAAUUCAGAAGAAACACAACUUGUGUUUACAAGUCAGGUUUUUAUUAAGCUGUGUAAAAGUAUGAGUAGCAAUACAAAUAAAUGUAGACUAUAACGCCAUAUGGAUAUGGAAAUAGACACAUGAAUUGAGUUUUUGGCUACUUUAACUGAACUAAGUAAUAGGCAUGGAGUUUACUCAGUGAUUAAAUCUAUUGUUUAUCUGCAGUAUGGGGUUUUGCAGACCCAUGGGAGAAACCCUUCGAGCUGAACUAAUCCCAAAAUGAAUAAGGUGCACUAUGGACCUUGGAGAAACCAGAAGAGGCUGACAAGCCUGUGGGCUGUGUGUGAACGAACAGUUCAGAUGUCCAGUUGGAAACAAACAUGUCCCAGCAGCAGAUACAGCUUCCACCCCGUAAGAAAGAUGAUGAUUGAAUCCAGGUGUAGGAAGAGAUAAGUCCUAUAAAAUGCAAUAGUUUGUGAGGUCAGCUGAAGGGGCCAAACAGAUGUAGAGCAACUAAAGGAAAUGUUAGACCAAAGACAUCAGAAAAAAGAGAAGCAAGAUUAUCUAGUGAUGGGUUUAAUCAUUUCAGGGUACGGUUUGAAAAAGAAAAAAGAGAAGGGAAAAUAUUAGUGGUCUUUGGCCUCAUAGCCCAUCACUUACAGAAUCUUGAGCUUUGAAAGUGGUUGCACGUGGAAGAAUGCAGAUUUUCUUCAGGGAAUGCUUUGACAGGAGAAUUGGCUUAUUCAUGAGAAGAAGUUAUCAGGAGAGCUUGAAGGACAAGGUAACAAUAAUAGCCUGAGUAAACCAUUAUGUAAGGCUUUGCAUGGAAAAAUAAGCUGUGCUCUCCAAACAGCCACUUUGUCUUUAGGGAACUUCAAAGGAGAUUAAAGAACCUCUGCAAUGUUUGGUUUAAUCGCUCAAGAAAAAGUUUCCAGAUACUUUAAAAUCAAAUAAAGACAGUUUGAGCCUGAAACCAACAGAUAAAAGAAGAUGAAAAUAUUCCUUUUUUAAUUAAAAGAAACUGUUUAUCUUGACUCGUUGGCAGUAGUAGUGGCAAACCUUUUACUUUAUUUAGUGUCAGAAUCAUGAAUAUGAUUUAUGUAUUUGUGUUUUAAACUUCUAAAUAAAUUGUUUGACAUUUGGAGUUAGCUGGGUACUGGCUGUAUUUUUUUAAUGAACCCACUGAUGUAAGGGUAUCAUCACUAUUCUCAUCUCCAAACUCUGGCAAGGAGGAGAAUGAGCGUUUUUCCCAAAACGGGGAACUAAUGUCUAAAGCAUACUAUUGGUAUAGUUACAGCUUUGCAGAAUUCUUGAAUGGUAGAAAAUUGGAUAUUUUCAAGUGUAUUUCAAUCCAUCUGGCAAAAUUUGAGGUUUUUUGUGGCAACUGAUAUUCGAAAAAAAAAAAAAAGAAUCUAAGGAGUGGAUUUCUAUUCAAAAUACUUGACCUGAGUUUGCCUCUGUUCUGCAGAAAAGCACAAGUCUCUGAAUCCACCAGAAACCAUCCACAAUUUAUCAGAAACUUAAGCGUAAACAGACAUAUCCAUUUUCUCUUCUGUAUAGUCCAGCAGGGUCUCAGGGAGAUCAUAAUUUAUUCACAAGACGGUCAGCCUUACACCUUUCCACCGCUUUCUGGAGGACAUGGAGAGAGUUGCAUACUUGCCACUGCACCCCAGGAAGAAAUCCUGAGUAGUAAAAGAAUUACAUAAAUCAGCUCUUGAUAAUAGUCUGUAAUGCUAACUAUUGCAUGGAGAUGCUGAAUGCUUUGUUUCUCUCUGAAUUAGGUCUUUAUGUGUAAAUUGUGUAUUGUAUUAAAUUUGGUAUAAAUGUACGAACGAACAAG